CCUUUUUUUUUUUGGGUGACGAGAGAAACCAGCAGCCACUACCCGAGGGUCUGUACAGGGUAAACCCCGCCUUGUGACCCUAGCCGACAAAAGACCACAAGGAGGUAAACCAACCUAGGUUGCCCAUAGGCCAUAGCUAACCAACUAUCUCAACCUUUUGAGAUCAAGCUUCUAAAUAUCAAGCAACAUCAAUUUAGUACAAAAAGUAAAAGUAACAAGUAUUUUAGAUCAACUUGAGAAGGCAAACAUUAAUGAUGGUUGCUGUCAGUUCCUAUACCUACCAUGAACAGGAACCCCAUCAACAGUAAAGUUACAGCAUAAUCUCCAUGGAAAGUUAUUAAGCAUAAAACGAAAGAAAAGUGGAAACAUUCAGCAGAGCAUUAAGGUCAUGUUUUCUAGCACUUGUCUCGGCUUAUAUUGAAACAAUUGAAAAUAUGAGGAACUUGUGGAACAUAAUAAAUCAGAUAAAACUUAUAAGAUAAAAGGAGUUGCGCAAAAAAGAACAUGGCAUAUCAAAGAAAUGCAUCACAGGAGGUUUGGGGGUUCAGCGUGUAAAUUAAUAGUAAGUUAAUAAACCCUUUUCCUAUGCAAUAAACUUGAGUUCGUCCAUCACCCCAACCCACCACCAGAUGUACCCA